UACGUAGGGGGCAAGCGUUGUCCGGAAUCAUUGGGCGUAAAGCGCGCGUAGGCGGCCCGGUAAGUCCGUUGUGAAAGUCAAAGGCUCAACCUUUGAAUGCCGACGGAUACUGCCGGGCUAGAGUCCGGAAGAGGCGAGUGGAAUUCCUGGUGUAGCGGUGAAAUGCGCAGAUAUCAGGAAGAACACCAAUGGCGAAGGCAGCUCUCUGGGACGGUACUGACGCUGAGACGCGAAAGCGUGGGGAGCGAACAGG
rnacentral:rRNA from 1 species